rnacentral:rRNA from 1 species
GGCGAACGGGUGAGUAACACGUGGGUGAUCUGCCCUGCACUCUGGGAUAAGCCUGGGAAACUGGGUCUAAUACCGGAUAGGACCAUGCUUUAGUGUGUGUGGUGGAAAGUUUUUUCGGUGUAGGAUGAGCCCGCGGCCUAUCAGCUUGUUGGUGGGGUAAUGGCCUACCGAGGCGGCGACGGGUAGCCGGACUGAGAGGUUGGUCGGCCACAUUGGGACUGAGAUACGGCCCAG